rnacentral:misc_RNA from 1 species
GACUUUUCAUUGACUUCAAACAUCUCUUAUAUACCUCAUCAAAAGUAAAGGGAAGGGCAGGCCAGGUUUGACCCCUCUCAUCUGAGACUCUGAUCCCUCACCCCACCGCCUCUCUUCAUCAUCUAUAUCCAUGUUUAUCUGAUUAUCUUCCUCAAAAUUAACCAUAUAUUCACAUCAUGAGAUUUAAGGAUUUUCAUCUCAAGCUCAAGGCUUUUCGGCUUAGAAGGUUUCUCAUUAGAGAUGGAGGCAAGAAAAGAGAGUUUGAUGCGGCAAAGAAGCCUUCUUGGAUGAUGCCAAUAUCUCAUGGACAUCAUGUUAUUGAGGAUCAGUCGUUUAGAGGAGGUUCAGAUGAUUCGGACUCCAACUCAAUUGUGGUUCAGAGAGAACAAAUAGAGGAACUGGAGCUAUGGUUUUUUGGAGUUUUUGAUGCUCGAAUUGGAGAUGGAGUCACCAAGUACUUGCAAUCCCACCUGUUUGAUAGGAAAACCAAAGAGUCUCAGAUAAGAAGAAAGAGUAAAGAGACGAUGAAAAAAGCUUAUCUCGGAGCAAGAGCAAAGGUUAAGGAGACACAGAGAUCAGAUGAUGAGACAUGGAGAGUGGGUUCAGCGUCUGUUAUGGUGAUCAAUGGAGAAAAACUUGUGAUAGCUAACAUGGGUGAUUACAGAGCUGUAGUGUGUAGAGAUGGUGUAGCUCGUCAGGUGGGCAGCAAGCAUCAGCUAACAGCCAAAAGACACUGGACUCGCAGGCUCUUUUCUGGUACAGAACACCUUCAACUUCACCCUAUCCACCAAAUCAAAUUGAUGCUACUACAUUCUAAUGAAUUGAUAUAGCCCUCUAGAAUUCUUUGUUUCUUCACAUGUGCACAAUAGCAAGUAAUAGUACUCUUGUUUGGGUUUCAUUUAUGUCAAGUACGCAUAUUGGCAUGGAAUUCUAUUAAAGCAGCAGGUAACAAGCACUCCAAAAGCUCGGAGCUCGUGGUUGGAGGUGAAAGGAUCAACCCUGAUACUGAAUUUGUCAUCAUAGCAAGCGCUGGCAUAUGGGAGGUGAUGAAGAACCAAGAAGCUGUGAAUCUCAUCAAGCACAUGGAGGAUCCACAAGAAGCUGCAGAGUGUUUAGCAAAGGAGGCUUUAAAUAGAAUGACCAGAAGCAACAUUUCUUGUGUCAUUAUUCGCUUUGAUUAAAACAUGUUUUGUUUUCUUUAUUUGUGUAAUCCUGAAUCUUUUCGCAG